rnacentral:misc_RNA from 1 species
AUCAUGCUCUUUUUGAUUGUUAAGAUUUAUUUUUCUUCUCUCUCACUUUUCAUUUGUAUGUGUGCACUACAAUUUUCUGCGCAAAUAUGAGUUCAUCAGAAACCUCCCAUUUUCUAAUGUCUUCAGCCAAUGCAACAAAAAGCUUGUUUAUAAUGCUUAAAACUUUUUGAACUUCAAAACAGCUUCCAUUUAUCAAGUUUUUUCUGAAGGAGCAGAAGCAUGUAAAUUGUUAGAUUAG